UACGUAGGUGGCAAGCGUUAUCCGGAUUUAUUGGGCGUAAAGGGAACGCAGGCGGUCUUUUAAGUCUGAUGUGAAAGCCUUCGGCUUAACCGGAGUAGUGCAUUGGAAACUGUGCUUCUUGAGUGCUGGAGAGGCAGACGGAAUUCCUAGUGUAGCGGUGAAAUGCGUAGAUAUUAGGAGGAACACCAGUGGCGAAGGCGGUCUGCUGGACAGUAACUGACGGUGAGGCGCGAAAGCGUGGGGAGCAAACAGG
rnacentral:rRNA from 1 species